AUUGAACGCUGGCGGCAGGCCUAACACAUGCAAGUCGAGCGGAUGAAGGGGGCUUGCUCCUGGAUUCAGCGGCGGACGGGUGAGUAAUGCCUAGGAAUCUGCCUGGUAGUGGGGGAUAACGUCCGGAAACGGGCGCUAAUACCGCAUACGUCCUGAGGGAGAAAGUGGGGGAUCUUCGGACCUCACGCUAUCAGAUGAGCCUAGGUCGGAUUAGCUAGUUGGUGGGGUAAAGGCCUACCAAGGCGACGAUCCGUAACUGGUCUGAGAGGAUGAUCAGUCACACUGGGACUGAGACACGGUCCAGACUCCUACGGGAGGCAGCAGUGGGGAAUAUUGGACAAUGGGCGAAAGCCUGAUCCAGCCAUGCCGCGUGUGUGAAGAAGGUCUUCGGAUUGUAAAGCACUUUAAGUUGGGAGGAAGGGCAGUAAGUUAAUACCUUGCUGUUUUGACGUUACCAACAGAAUAAGCACCGGCUAACUUCGUG
rnacentral:rRNA from 1 species